rnacentral:rRNA from 1 species
UGCAGCGUCGAUAGUAAGUUGAAAACACCAGUCCCCAAAGGACCACUAAAGUGAAGCAACGUUCCGCGUGGUCGGCGUGGUUGGAACCCGGAUGGGUCAUUCUAGGCAACCGCGUGCUGCUGUCU